UGAGUAAUCUCUGAGAUUUAUAUCUACAAAAACACGAUCGGGUAUUUCAACCACUCAAUACUUUUCACAAUUUGGCACAAGUGUUUCAUGUCAAAUUCGAGAUUAUGUUUGAUUUAUGUCUGCAUAUACAACAUUUACUCAAGAGCCCAUUUCGCCUCAGGGGCAGGACACAGUUACCAUUUCCCGAAUCCCAGACUGCCUCACUGCCAUUCUCGUGUCGCAUUCUCGUGUCAAUAUUUUCUAUCGAGAGUCGUCUGUUGGCUGGAGGGUACAGAGCAGUAUGAAAACAAACAUGCCUAAAAUAACAAAUUAGCAUAGACCAGUGGGACUGCCAGAGAGUGAUGGCAGAGGACGCACCGAUGUUGAAUGAUGUGCGAACAAGUUGUAAUUAUUUCGCAUUAAGCCAAGGAACCAAACCGAAAGGAAUGGAGCACAGUGGUGAUGCUGAAGCCAUGGCCCUUGGAAGACCCCAAAGAUGUCAAAGAUGGAUGCAGCUCUGGCAAACAGAAACCGAGACCGAGUUAAAUAAUGACCUUAAAGAUUGGGUUGAAUACAUUCUGUAAGGAAUUAAUGAAUGAAUGAAGUAUUCUCAAGGCAAAAGAUACGCAAAUAAACUGAUUUGUCAUAUGAAAUA
rnacentral:sRNA from 1 species